rnacentral:pre_miRNA from 1 species
UCAGGUGCCGUGCAGCAGCUGGUGUUGUGAAUCAGGCCGUCACCAGUCGGAGAACGGCUACUUCACAACACCAGGGUCGCACCGCACCA